rnacentral:lncRNA from 1 species
CAGGUUAAUAUGCACUUACCAACAGGACUUCCUCUUCAGCUGUAAGGGAAACCAGAGAGCGGAUCCAUAUCUCCACGGACAUCAGUGAAUGAGGAGCACAGAGUGGAUCCAGGCCCUCCCACUGAGUCUGAAGAAAUGCAGCAGUAUCUAAAGAAACAGAGAGUGAACCAAAGCAGUAUUGGAGCUUGUCAAAGGUUUCAUUCAUAGUCACAGGGAUGUGGGGGCUUUCUUACAUUUGACAAACUACACACAGACGGUAUUUGAGAAUUGAGUAUGAAAUAGUAUUGUUCACCCUCUAUUUAUAUCAGUAUUGAC